CCUACGGGAGGCAGCAGUGGGGAAUUGUUCGCAAUGGGCGCAAGCCUGACGACGCAACGCCGCGUGGAGGAUGAAGACCUUCGGGUCGUAAACUCCUUUCGAUCGAGACGAAUGUUUUCCGGGUGAACAAUCCGGAAAAGUGACGGUACCGAGAGAAGAAGCCCCGGCUAACUCUGUGCCAGCAGCCGCGGUAAUACAGGGGGGGCAAGCGUUGUUCGGAAUUACUGGGCGUAAAGGGCUUGUAGGUGGCCAACUAAGUCAGACGUGAAAUCCCUCAGCUUAACUGGGGAACUGCGUCUGAUACUGGAUGGCUUGAGUUUGGGAGAGGGAUGCGGAAUUCCAGGUGUAGCGGUGAAAUGCGUAGAUAUCUGGAGGAACACCGGUGGCGAAGGCGGCAUCCUGGACCAACACUGACACUGAGGAGCGAAAGCCAGGGGAGCAAACGGGGAUUAGAUACCCCGGUAGUCCUGGCCCUAAACGAUGAAUGCUUGGUGUGGCGGGUAUCGAUCCUCGCGUCGCCGACGACGUACGCAUAAGACAUCCGCCGUCGGGGUAGGUACGGUCGCGACGGCGUGAACGUACGAAGGAAGUUAGACGGCGUGAGACGUGCCGACGGACGACGACGACGGGAGGAGG
rnacentral:rRNA from 1 species